UACGAAGGGGGCAAGCGUUGUUCGGAAUUACUGGGCGUAAAGGGCGCGCAGGCGGCCAAUCAAGUCAGGCGUGAAAGCCCCGGGCUUAACCUGGGAAAUGCGUUUGAGACUGAUUGGCUUGAGUUCGGGAGAGGAUAGUGGAAUUCCCAGUGUAGAGGUGAAAUUCGUAGAGAUCGGGAGGAACACCGGCGGCGAAGGCGGCUGCCUGGACCGGCCCUGACGCUGAGGCGCGAAAGCUAGGGGAGCAAACAGG
rnacentral:rRNA from 1 species